rnacentral:rRNA from 1 species
UCCUACGGGAGGCAGCAGUGGGGAAUAUUGGACAAUGGGCGAAAGCCUGAUCCAGCCAUGCCGCGUGUGUGAAGAAGGCCUUUUGGUUGUAAAGCACUUUAAGCGAGGAGGAGGCUACUGAGAUUAAUACUCUUGGAUAGUGGACGUUACUCGCAGAAUAAGCACCGGCUAACUCUGUGCCAGCAGCCGCGGUA